UACGUAGGGACCAAGCGUUGUCCGGAAUCAUUGGGCGUAAAGCGCGCGUAGGUGGCCAUUUAAGUCCGCUGUGAAAGUCAGAGGCUCAACCUUUGAAAGCCGGUGGAUACUGGAUGGCUAGAGUACGGAAGAGGCGAGUGGAAUUCCUGGUGUAGCGGUGGAAUGCGCAGAUAUCAGGAAGAACACCCGUGGCGAAGGCGGCUCCCUGGGACGGUACUGACGCUGAGACGCGAAAGCGUGGGGAGCGAACAGG
rnacentral:rRNA from 1 species